rnacentral:rRNA from 1 species
AGGGUUUGACAUCCUGCGAACCCCUGAGAAAUCGGGGGGUGCCUUCGGGAGCGCAGAGACAGGUGGUGCAUGGCUGUCGUCAGCUCGUGUCGUGAGAUGUUGGGUUAAGUCCCGCAACGAGCGCAACCCACGUCGUUAGUUGCCAGCAUUCAGUUGGGCACUCUAGCGAGACCGCCGGUGAUAAACCGGAGGAAGGUGUGGAUGACGUCAAGUCAUCAUGCCCCUUACAUCCUGGGCUACACACGUACUACAAUGCUACGGACAAAGGGCAGCAAGCUCGCGAGAGUAAGCAAAUCCCAUAAACCGUGGCUCAGUUCAGAUCGUAGGCUGCAACUCGCCUACGUGAAGGAGGAAUCGCUAGUAAUCGCAGGUCAGCA